GUUCUUUUAGUUUAACUUUAAAAUUUUGAUUUGUGGAAUCAAAGAUCUUUUUGAGGAGGAACC
rnacentral:tRNA from 1 species